rnacentral:rRNA from 1 species
UCUGGGACAAGCCCUGGAAACGGGGUCUAAUACCGGAUAUGACCUGCUCUCGCAUGAGAUGUGGGUGGAAAGCUUCGGCGGUGCAGGAUGAGCCCGCGGCCUAUCAGCUUGUUGGUGGGGUGAUGGCCUACCAAGGCGACGACGGGUAGCCGGCCUGAGAGGGCGACCGGCCACACUGGGACUGAGACACGGCCCAGACUCCUACGGGAGGCAGCAGUGGGGAAUAUUGCACAAUGGGCGGAAGCCUGAUGCAGCGACGCCGCGUGAGGGAUGACGGCCUUCGGGUUGUAAACCUCUUUCAGCAGGGAAGAAGCGCAAGUGACGGUACCUGCAGAAGAAGCACCGGCUAACUACGUGCCAGCAGCCGCGGUAAUACGUAGGGUGCGAGCGUUGUCCGGAAUUAUUGGGCGUAAAGAGCUCGUAGGCGGCUUGUCGCGUCGGAUGUGAAAGCCCGGGGCUUAACUCCGGGUCUGCAUUCGAUACGGGCAGGCUAGAGUUCGGUAGGGGAGAUCGGAAUUCCUGGUGUAGCGGUGAAAUGCGCAGAUAUCAGGAGGAACACCGGUGGCGAAGGCGGAUCUCUGGGCCGAUACUGACGCUGAGGAGCGAAAGCGUGGGGAGCGAACAGGAUUAGAUACCCUGGUAGUCCACGCCGUAAACGUUGGGAACUAGGUGUGGGCGACAUUCCACGUCGUCCGUGCCGCAGCUAACGCAUUAAGUUCCCCGCCUGG